rnacentral:sRNA from 1 species
AUUCUGCCCAUGCGGGGAAGGAUGAGAAGCUUCGACCAAGGUUCGACUCGAGCGCCAGCGAGAGAGCGUUGCCGCAGGCAACGAC